GACGAACGCUGGCGGCGCGCCUAACACAUGCAAGUCGAGCGGAGAUAUUUGAAGGAAGUUUUCGGAUGGAAUUUGGGUAUUUUAGCGGCGGACGGGUGAGUAACGCGUGAGUGACCUGCCAUCCACAGGGGGAUAACGUACCGAAAGGUACACUAAUACCGCAUGAGACCACAGCACUGCCUGGUGCAGGGGUCAAAGGAGCAAUCCGGUGGAAGAUGGACUCGCGUCCGAUUAGAUAGUUGGUGGGGUAACGGCCUACCAAGUCAGCGAUCGGUAGCCGACCUGAGAGGGUGAUCGGCCACAUUGGAACUGAGAGACGGUCCAAACUCCUACGGGAGGCAGCAGUGGGGAAUAUUGGGCAAUGGGGGAAACCCUGACCCAGCGACGCCGCGUGAGGGAAGAAGGUUUUCGGAUUGUAAACCUCUGUUCUUGGUGAAGAGGGAAAGACGGUAGCCAAGGAGGAAGCCCCGGCUAACUACGUGCCAGCCGCCGCAGUAA
rnacentral:rRNA from 1 species